rnacentral:lncRNA from 1 species
GGGGGCUGCGCACCAACAUGCGUAGAAGGACAGAUUCACACGGAGAGACAAUAUGAUCGGAUAGAUACAAAAUCUAAAAGAACAGUCUCCAUAGAGUACAAUUUUGGCUAUAAUAUCUACUGCUAACUCAAUCUAGCAUCUAUUAGGUAAGAAGUGUACAUUCAUUUCCGCUCCACAGAUAGCACAAUUCAUAUGCUACGAAGCUGAUGUAAAAGCACUACUUGUCAGGAAUGUGGUGGGCGUUUGACUUGGUAUUUGCACAAAAUGAGGUGUUGCCAAAAGCAUUCCCCUCCUUUUCCGUGAGGGUGACAGCUUCCACUUAAAUUGGCUCGGUUUUCUCAUGUCUUUUCUUCCGUCCGUGGUCGAUUCACAUCCGUGAUAUGUGUGAAUGCAUAGAAUACAAGCAAGCUUGGUUAGGUCAUGUGAGGUGUGCACACCUAAAGUUCCUUUACAAUGACAGAGACCCUACAAUCAACUCUUCCGAAAAUACAUUUUGCCGACAAAGAAAUUAAUUCUAGACAACUUUUUUGAUAAUAUAAAUAACGCAUAAGAUAAGGUUGAAUAACAUUAAUCCUCUUCAAACCUCGAAAAAUAUAAAUCCGGGUGACCAAGAAAGAUACCCUUGUUUUUCCAUGAUAUGAAUAUAUAAGUAUAAAAAUCUGUAAUAUGUUGUAUUAAAAUACAAAAAUAACUUUUAUGUCAGGAUUGAAAUCAAAUACAUUGAUCUAGUUUAAUGAUGCAUACCUUUUCAUGUCAUAUGUUCAUAUAUUUCUAUUUGAUCUGCAAGAUACCGUCUUUAAU